AGUGAACGCUGGCGGUAGGCCUAACACAUGCAAGUCGAACGGCAGCACAGUAAGAGCUUGCUCUUACGGGUGGCGAGUGGCGGACGGGUGAGGAAUACAUCGGAAUCUACUUUUUCGUGGGGGAUAACGUAGGGAAACUUACGCUAAUACCGCAUACGACCUACGGGUGAAAGCAGGGGAUCUUCGGACCUUGCGCGAUUGAAUGAGCCGAUGUCGGAUUAGCUAGUUGGCGGGGUAAAGGCCCACCAAGGCGACGAUCCGUAGCUGGUCUGAGAGGAUGAUCCGCCACACUGGAACUGGAACACGGUCCAGACUCCUACGGGAGGCAGCAGUGGGGAAUAUUUGGCAAUGGGCGCAAGCCUGAUCCAGCCAAACCGCGUGGGUGAAGAAGGCCUUCGGGUUGUAAAGCCCUUUUUUUGGGAAAGAAAAGCAGCAGGUUAAUACCCCGCUGUUCUGACGGUACCCAAAGAAUAAGCACCGGCUAACUUCGUGC
rnacentral:rRNA from 1 species